UACGGAGGAGGCAAGCGUUAUCCGGAAUUAUUGGGCGUAAAGCGUCCGUAGGUGGCUAGUCAAGUCUGCGGUCAAAGACUGGGGCUUAACCCUGGAACGGCCGUGGAAACUGACGAGCUAGAGUGCAGUAGGGGUAGAGGGAAUUCCCGGUGUAGCGGUGAAAUGCGUAGAGCUCGGGAAGAACAUCGGUGGCGAAAGCGCUCUACUGGACUGCAACUGACACUCAGGGACGAAAGCUAGGGGAGCGAAUGGG
rnacentral:rRNA from 1 species